UAGGUACCACACAUCUCGAGAUUAAUGUCAGAGUUACUCAAGUUUCAAACGGCUUCUGUCACCACUUAUAUAGGUACCACACAUCUCGAGAUUAAUGUCAGAGUUACUCAAGUUUCAAACGGCUUCUGUCACCACUUAUAUAGGUACCACACAUCUCGAGAUUAAUGUCAGAGUUACUCAAGUUUCAAACGGCUUCUGUCACCACUUAUAUAGGUACCACACAUCUCGAGAUUAAUGUCAGAGUUACUCAAGUUUCAAACGGCUUCUGUCACCACUUAUAUAGGUACCACACAUCUCGAGAUUAAUGUCAGAGUUACUCAAGUUUCAAACGGCUUCUGUCA